rnacentral:rRNA from 1 species
GAUUAACGCUGGCGGCGUGCAUAACACAUGCAAGUCGAACGAUGAAACUUAGUAGACUUCUUCGGAAAGACACUACGCGGAUUAGUGGCGAACGGGUGAGUAACGCGUGAGUAACCUGCCUUACACAAGGGGAUAGCCUUUUGAAACGAAGAAUAAUACCCUAUAAAACCAUAAAAGCACAUGCUAGAAUGGUCAAAGUGAUAGCGGUGUAAGAUGGACUUGCGUCUGAUUAGCUAGUUGGUGAGAUAAAAGCUCACCAAGGCAACGAUCAGUAGCCGGCUUGAGAGAGUGUACGGCCACAUUGGGACUGAGACACGGCCCAGACUCCUACGGGAGGCAGCAGUGGGGAAUUUUGCACAAUGGGGGAAACCCUGAUGCAGCGACGCCGCGUGAUUUAGAAGGCCUUCGGGUUGUAAAAAUCUUUUGUAUAGGAAGAAAAUGACAGUACUAUACGAAUAAGGUCCGGCUAAUUACGUG